rnacentral:tRNA from 1 species
GCCCCUGUGUUGGAAUUGGUAGACAUGACAGAUUCAGAUUCUGUUGCCGAAAGGUGUGAGAGUUCAAGUCUCUCUGGGGGCACCA